rnacentral:rRNA from 1 species
CGCUAGCUACAGGCUUAACACAUGCAAGUCGAGGGACCGGCGCACGGGUGAGUAACGCGUAUCCAACCUGCCUUACACUCUUGGACAGCCUUCUGAAAGGGAGAUUAAUACAAGAUGGUGUAAGAUGGGGAUGCGUUCCAUUAGAUAGUAGGCGGGGUAACGGCCCACCUAGUCUUCGAUGGAUAGGGGUUCUGAGAGGAAGGUCCCCCACAUUGGAACUGAGACACGGUCCAAACUCUACGGGAGGCAGCAGUGAGGAAUAUUGGUCAAUGGACGAGAGUCUGAACCAGCCAAGUAGCGUGAAGGAUGAAGGUUUAUGAAUUGUAAACUUCUUUUAUACGGGAAUAUGUACCGUAUGAAUAAGGAUCGGCUAACUCCGUGCCAGCAGCCGCGGUAAUACGGAGGAUCCGAGCGUUAUCCGGAUUUAUUGGGUUUAAAGGGAGCGUAGAUGGGUUGUUAAGUCAGUUGUGAAAGUUUGCGGCUCAACCGUAAAAUUGCAAUUGAUACUGGCAGUCUUGAGUACAGUUGAGGUAGGCGGAAUUCGUGGUGUAGCGGUGAAAUGCUUAGAUAUCACGAAGAACUCC